rnacentral:lncRNA from 1 species
UUCGGUGCCGGCCGUCACAGGCAGGGUAAUUUCUCCUUCCGUCGCGACAGCGUCUCCGGCAAAGCCGAUCAAGGGCAUAGAGACCCUCUUAAGUCGGUCGGUUGAUAGUUGCAUCCGGGCGAAGGUCGAGUAAAACAAAAUAUUUAUCGAACUUCCAUUAUCAACAAAAAAAAUUUUUACAUCAUAGUUUGCUAUUGUUGCCGAAACAACAACAGCGUCGUCGUGGGGAGUUUGGAUGCCCCGAACGUCUUCCUCCGUAAAGGUGAUUACGUCGUCCGGACGCAAUUUUUUCGUCGGCUCCCCUCCCGCAGAUGUCCCCGGGCCCAGUCGCUUGGAGAUCAUAUUGAUGACCCCGGCCGUCGGCUGAUUAGUCGUCGCUUCUUCAGUCGGUUGGGGUCGUCGGUCGGCAACUGGUUGGGUCGGCGGGUUCUUCCAAAAUUUACCGAGAUACCCCCGGCGAAUGAGGG